rnacentral:rRNA from 1 species
GUGCCAGCAGCCGCGGUAAUACGUAGGGUGCGAGCGUUGUCCGGAAUUACUGGGCGUAAAGAGCUCGUAGGUGGUUUGUCGCGUCGUUUGUGUAAGCCCGCAGCUUAACUGCGGGACUGCAGGCGAUACGGGCAUAACUUGAGUGCUGUAGGGGAGACUGGAAUUCCUGGUGUAGCGGUGGAAUGCGCAGAUAUCAGGAGGAACACCGAUGGCGAAGGCAGGUCUCUGGGCAGUAACUGACGCUGAGGAGCGAAAGCAUGGGUAGCGAACAGGAUUAGAUACCCUGGUAGUCCAUGCCGUAAACGGUGGGCGCUAGGUGUGAGUCCCUUCCACGGGGUUCGUGCCGUAGCUAACGCAUUAAGCGCCCCGCCUGGGGAGUACGGCCGCAAGGCUAAAACUCAAAGGAAUUGACGGGGGCCCGCACAAGCGGCGGAGCAUGUGGAUUAAUUCGAUGCAACGCGAAGAACCUUACCUGGGCUUGACAUACACCAGAUCGGGCCAGAGAUGGUCUUUCCCUUUGUGGUUGGUGUACAGGUGGUGCAUGGUUGUCGUCAGCUCGUGUCGUGAGAUGUUGGGUUAAGUCCCGCAACGAGCGCAACCCUUGUCUUAUGUUGCCAGCACGUUAUGGUGGGGACUCGUGAGAGACUGCCGGGGUUAACUCGGAGGAAGGUGGGGAUGACGUCAAAUCAUCAUGCCCCUUAUGUCCAGGGCUUCACACAUGCUACAAUGGUCGGUACAACGCGUCUGCGAGCCUGUGAGGGUGAGCUAAUCGCUGUAAAGCCGGUCGUAGUUCGGAUUGGGGUCUGCAACUCGACCCCAUGAAGUCGGAGUCGCUAGUAAUCGCAGAUCAGCAACGCUGCGGUGAAUACGUUCCCGGGCCUUGUACACACCGCCCGUCACGUCAUGAAAGUUGGUAACACCCGAAGCCAGUGGCCUGUCAUGGGAGCUGUCGAAGGUGGGAUCGGCGAUUGGGACGAAGUCGUAACAAGGUA